rnacentral:rRNA from 1 species
UGGGGAAUAUUGCGCAAUGGGCGAAAGCCUGACGCAGCGACGCCGCGUGCGGGAUGAAGGCCUUCGGGUUGUAAACCGCUUUCAGCAGGGACGAAAAAGGACGGUACCUGCAGAAGAAGCGCCGGCUAACUACGUGCCAGCAGCCGCGGUAAUACGUAGGGCGCAAGCGUUGUCCGGAAUUAUUGGGCGUAAAGAGCUCGUAGGCGGCCUGUUGCGUCCGCUGUGAAAUCCCGGGGCUCAACCCCGGGCCUGCAGUGGAUACGGGCUGGCUAGAGGCAGGCAGGGGAGAACGGAAUUCCUGGUGUAGCGGUGAAAUGCGCAGAUAUCAGGAGGAACACCGGUGGCGAAGGCGGUUCUCUGGGCCUGUACUGACGCUGAGGAGCGAAAGCGUGGGGAGCGAACA